rnacentral:rRNA from 1 species
UACGAAGGGUGCAAACGUUGCUCGGAAUUAUUGGCGUAAGACGCACGUAGGCGGCUUGGCAAGUCGGAUGUGAAAUCCCUCGGCUCAACCAAGGAAGUGCAUCCGAAACUGCUGAGCUUGAGUACGAAAGAGGAUCGCGGAAUUCCCGGUGUAGAGGUGAAAUUCGUAGAUAUCGGGAGGAACACCGGGUGGCGAAGGCGGCGUUCUGGACUGCAUCUGACACUGAAAGACGAAAGCCAGGGGAGCAAACGGG